rnacentral:rRNA from 1 species
UGCCAGCCGCCGCGGUAAUACGUGCGGGGCAAGCGUUGUUCGGAAUUACUGGGCUUAAAGGGUUCGUAGGCGGCCACUUAAGUCAGGGGUGAAAUCCCACGGCCCAACCGUGGAACGGCCUCUGAUACUGAGUGGCUUGAGUGUGCUAGGGGUAAGCGGAACGUGUAGUGUAGCGGUGAAAUGCGUAGAUAUUCGGAGGAACACCAGUGGCGAAGGCGGCUUUCUGGACCGAUACUGACGCUGAGACGCGAAAGCGUGGGGAGCAAACAGGAUUAGAUA